CUUGAAGACUUGUAGCCAGAAUGGUAUAUACAUAAGCAGACUGGUGAACGUGUAGAACAUGAAGGCAAACUGUGAGAAACGUAACAUGGCGGUAAAACAUGUAGAUAGACUUGUAGACACGGAGACAGACUGACGGACACAUAGAGACCGGUGAAAACGUUGAGACUUGUGGACACAUAGUCAGACUGUUGAGAAUCAUAUGGACAGACCAGGGGUCUAUAAGAGAGACUUGUGAAAGUAAAAACAGACCAGUAAAUGAUUGAAAAACUGGUGAACAUGUAGACAGACCUGUGCAAAU
rnacentral:lncRNA from 1 species